ensembl:ribozyme RNaseP_nuc Nuclear RNase P
ACCUGUUUUACUUCACAGGAUUGCUGGCACCAUGAAGAAGAAAACACAGAGUCACUCUUCCACCACCCUUGGGAAGGUCUGAGACUGGGGCCAAUAGCGACCCUAACAGGGCCCUCCCUGAGCUCCGGGGAGGUGAGUUCCCAGAGAGCGGGGCUCCAUGCAAAGGCAGACCGGGCAGGAGAUGCCAGGAGCCUGUCCGCGGGCAGGACCCGCCGGAUGCCUCCUUAGCCGGAGCUUGGAACAGACUCACGGCUGGCCAAACAAAAAAGAGCU